GACGAACGCUGGCGGCGUGCUUAACACAUGCAAGUCGAGCGGUAAGGCCCUUUCGGGGGUACACGAGCGGCGAACGGGUGAGUAACACGUGGGUGACCUGCCCUCAGCUCUGGGAUAAGCCUGGGAAACCGGGUCUAAUACCGGAUAUGACUCCAUGACGCAUGUUGUGGGGUGGAAAGCCUUGUGCGGCUGAGGAUGGGCCCGNGGCCUAUCAGCUUGUUGGUGGGGUGAUGGCCUACCAAGGCGACGACGGGUAGCCGGCCUGAGAGGGCGACCGGCCACACUGGGACUGAGACACGGCCCAGACUCCUACGGGAGGCAGCAGUGGGGAAUCUUGCGC
rnacentral:rRNA from 1 species